rnacentral:tRNA from 1 species
UAUUUGGUAGUUUAACAAAAACAACUAUUUUGUAAAUAGUAAAUGCCCGCAGCUCAAAUAU